CACCUGAGCAACCUUCACUCAAGUUGGGACAUUCGUCUUUCGGGUAGGUUCUGCCACCUCACCAGCAUGCCCAGAUGACCUGAGGAAGAUCCAGGUCACUUCCAUUAUCCAACUCAUACGUAGAGAAACAAUUGUUUUUCUUUUUUAAAGAAACUGAGUCUCCACCUGUUGCCCAGGCUGGAGUGCAAUGGCACAGUCAUGGCUCACUGCAGCCUUGACCUCCUGAGCUCAAGCAAUCCUCCCUCCUCGGCUUCCCACAGUGCUGGAUUACAGGUGUGAGCCACAGUGCUGGCCCUAGAAACAAUAUAAAGAAAUGAUUGUCCAUGGCUAUCUGGGAUUCUGGCCUCUUUUCUAAAAAUGUCACUAAACUGUAUUAGCAAAAUAGUUUCUAUGAUUCACUGAGCUGCCAUCUAAAUGUUUUCCUAACAUUUCUCCUCAGAUGCCACUGAGAGGCUUCAGUCAUGGCUUUAGAAAAUGCUUCAGAAAGGCUUUCAGGGCAAUUACAGACUUGCUGAGCAAGUGGCCAAACCCCAGAUCCAGAACAGACUCUAAUGUUCGAAAGGCAUAGGUUGACACAACGUGUUACUUUAUUAGCAAAUUUCACACUACAGGAAUAAAAAAGCAGAGGGAAAAUUCCGACUGCCCCCCCACCCCCAAUCAGUUCUUCCUUCUUCUGCAUCCCUGAGCCAUGUGGGUGCUCUGUUCUAGCUCUUGGCGCUUGUGAGCUGCACCCCUGUCUGCUUCCCCCUUGGAGCUGUGGGGUGCCUUUCAGGAGAAGCUGCUCACCUUUGUGUCUCGAACCCAGCACAGAGCCUGGAGCAGCAACGGGGCUUGAUGAAUACUAAUAGACUAAAAGUGAUUGCACACGCCAAGAAUUAACUACAUGGGAGAAGAGCUAGGAAGGGAAAUAUACCUUGAGUUAUUAAAGGAAACCCCUUCUCAGGAUGACAAAGGAUGGGUAACCUCAGAUCUCUGGUCCCAUGUCCCACUGUAAAGCAGGAUCACGGUGGGGUGGGCCACUGCUCCGAGUGACUGUGACAUUUUGAUAUGCUUUUAAUGAUGAAGUGACCAAGAACAAAUGAAACAUAGCAUUUGCUGAAAGCUCGUCUGGCAACGUUCCCUCAGCAGCCCUGUCCAGGAAGCAUACCUGCUGCAUCCCGAUCUUGGCCUUUCUCCUCGGGCUCUCGGCUUAAGAAGUGCUAGCCUUUUACCCUCUCUUCCAUGUCGUAUUUUUGAAAUCUCUGUUUAUGCUCUGGAGAACCAGUCUCCGUAAGUUUUAAAGGUGAUCUGGGAGUUUCAAAUCCAUCUGAAUUUUAGUAAAAUUUCCUAAAGUGACAGCGGCAAACGGAGAUUUAGAGAAAAACUAUUUUUUAAACACUGGGUGUCCCCACAUGGAUAAUAGAGAGGGUGAACAUGUCCCCACCUUGACUCACUCUGCACAGUUGUUUACAGGCAGCUAUGGAGCUGAAACAUGGUGAUUGAAAGUUUGGACACAGAUCCUUCCACAUGUAAAUAGUGCUCACUCAUAGCGGAAAAAAAAAAAAA
rnacentral:lncRNA from 1 species